AGGGGCUGCUCCUAGUACGAGAGGACCGGAGUGGACGAACCUCUGGUGUUCCGGUUGUCACGCCAGUGGCAUUGCCGGGUAGCUAUGUUCGGAAAAGAUAACCGCUGAAAGCAUCUAAGCGGGAAACUUGCCUCAAGAUGAGAUCUCACUGGGAACUUGAUUCCCCUGAAGGGCCGUCGAAGACUACGACGUUGAUAGGCUGGGUGUGUAAGCGUUGUGAGGCGUUGAGCUAACCAGUACUAAUUGCCCGUGAGGCUUGACCAUAUAACACCCAAACA
rnacentral:rRNA from 1 species